CGUGCACUGGUGGGGUCCCUCAGCCUGGCCUGUGCUCUCUCACAAUCUGAGACCCCUCGGGGGACGUAAGACUGCCAGUUCAGCCCGAUCCCUGCAGGCCAGGCUGAGGGACCCUGCCGGUGCACA
rnacentral:pre_miRNA from 1 species